GAUGAACGCUAGCGGCAGGCUUAAUACAUGCAAGUCGUGGGGCAGCAGGUUUGUAGCAAUACAGAUGCUGGCGACCGGCAAACGGGUGCGGAACACGUACAGAACCUUCCUUUGAGCGGGGAAUAGCCCAGAGAAAUUUGGAUUAAUACCCCAUAGUAUAAUGAAGUGGCAAUCACUUUAUUAUUAAAGAUUUAUCACUCGAAGAUGGCUGUGCGGCUGAUUAGGUAGUUGGCGGGGUAAAGGCCCACCAAGCCUGCGAUCAGUAACUGGUGUGAGAGCACGACCAGUCACACAGGCACUGAGACACGGGCCCGACUCCUACGGGAGGCAGCAGUAAGGAAUAGUUGGUCAAAUGGAGGCAACUCUGAACCAGCCAUGCCGCGUGGAGGAUGAAGGUCCUCUGGAUUGUAAACUUCUUUUAUAUGGGACGAAAAAAGGCUUUCUAAGUCGUCUGACGGUACCAUAUGAAUAAGCACCGGCUAACUCGUGCCAG
rnacentral:rRNA from 1 species